UUAGGGGGGCUAAAAUUGUGUUUCUCGUGUAACGGGAGACCUCAAAAUGCAAAAUUUCCAUUUGAGUAUAUACUCUAGAAACUAGCGCAUGUUAUUUUUAUUGUUUAUUUCAGAAAGAGUGGUCAUAUUGCAAGCGAGUAAUCCAUUUAGCAUAUCAAAUACUUUUUUGAGAACUUAAUGCCGAAAAAUACUUUUCAAUGUUUCUGAUGUAAAAAGUAAAUAGUAAAUAUUUUCAAAGUGUACUUUGAAGUGGACACUUAAUGUUUAAAUAGAAACCACAAAUAAUACAUAAAUUAAGUAGAAAUUUUAGCAAUAACAUAAAAUAAGAUUUAAUGAAAGCAAUGCAUGGUGUGUCACAACGUAAUAUUUGGGGGGUCACCAAAUUCAUCUACAAAAUACAAUAAUGGCCAUACUUUUCAUUAUUUUUUAUAUUAUUGCUAAUCAUUCUUUCUAAACAUAAAACUAUAUGUAAUGGCUACCAGAAAAAAUCUUUAGAAAGGUAAUAUGCAUUCUACACCCAAAAGUCGGUGUUUCCCAUGUAAGCCAUUUAGGCCGGGGGACACCAAACCUUACAUGGCAUGUAGUAACAAUAUCUUUUGAUUGUCAUUUUCUCUGAAAAUUAAUAUGGGUUUUUCUGUACCUUUUUCGUAUCAAUAGACAAAUCAUUUUUUUAGAUUGUUCUUUGGGCCUGAUAGCGCCAUCAUAAAAUGAUGAAAAGUGUCCCUGACUGACACAUACACACCCGAUCACGAAAAGAAAACAAAAAUAGGUUAGAAAUGAAAAUGAAAGUCAUGUAUUUUAUAUAAACUGCGUAGACAGGAUUUAAUUUUGGAGGGGUGGUAAGUGCACGCGAAGCGUGCCAACACUUACAGAGCGCGCGAAGCGCACUCUCGAAGGAAAGGGUGUAGGGAAGUUCUUGAUAUCUCAUUAAUUUAAUAUGAAAAGAAGACAUCUCUUGCAUCUCUAGUAUCCUUAUCAACUCGCCCCCACUUGCUGUGAUUAAAACAAAUGUAUUUGAAAGAAAUUACGAGCUUCCCCAAAUUAAUGGGAAAAGAUUUUUAAAACCGUUGAAUGAUAUAAUACCGCACGAAGCGCGGAAGCUAAAACGUUUUAUAAAAUUGAGAACAGAAGUGGCAUAAAAUGCUACCUUGGUCGCAUCAUAUUUGAUGAUGAAAACUUUAGCCACAGUAGAUGUCUUUAGAUCACAAAUAGUAGAAGACGGGUAUGCAAUGAGGAAAUAUUCCUUUCCGCGAAUGGUUUUGAAGCUCUGAAUUGAAACUUUAACCUGCUCUAAUUUUGAUAUUUCUUAGAUUAUAAAUGGAUAACGAUGAAAAAGGAAGCUCAAAAUGUGAAAGGGCCCAGUGAUGCAAGCCAGACUAUGAGAGGGACUUUUCAUUUCCCUUCCACGUGAAAUACGGUAACAUCUGUGAUUUAUUUCGGGAGAAUUAUUAAUUAUGAUUCAGAAAGUUCAGUGAUAUUCAAAAUUUCAAAUCAAUCGCACAAAACAAGACAGGAGAUGGGUGUAACAGCGAUACAGAAUAAAGUUUCAUCGUACAUAUAGCACGGCACGAAUUUAUAAUGCCUCGAGCCCCUUUUGAGCAGAUACUUUGCCACAAAUUACUCACUGAAAAGUUGGAAGAUAUCAUAAUAAUUAUGGGAACUCUGGGAGUGGCGGGAGUGUUGACCCGCUCCGAACAGAAGAGCCGAAAUUUUGUGUCAAUGCAAUUUAAAAAAGAAUCAUCAUAUUUUUUCUUAAAUUUAUGUAUACUCUAUAAUUUAUGGCAAGAAUAUACAAUUCCCAUAGAUGGGAAGGGGAAAAACCGUAUCAUAUAGUUUGGAUAGAGCUCGAAAGCAAUUUUUUUAAUGAAUUAUAAGAGAGAAAACUGAACGUCUCAUUUAGGUUUUUAUUCUUUUGACAAAAAAAAUACCAAAAGAGAAAACAUUAGGGCUGUACCCAUCUUCCCUCUCUUCGCUUUUCCUUUUCCUUUCUUCUUCCCUUUUCCUCUCUUAUUCUUUUUAGAGCGUUUUUUUGUUGGGGGGGGCGACCACCCCCAUCGCUUCCCCCUGGCUACGCGCCUGUUUUAUUAUGGUGCUCCUCGUUUGAGGUAAAUCUUAAACGGAAUUCCUAAAACCUUCACCAAUAUUUUUUUCGACUGCUUUUACAACAAACUUUUCUUCAGGGAGAACUUUCCCUUCUUUUAAAAAGGUAUACACUUUCCAACACACACCCGCUCCCAUCUAUUACGGACAUGCACAUAUACAUGUACCUUCUUAAUGGAUUUAACAUAUAUUUGGAUGUGAAUAAGAAUUGUUUAGAACUAGGUGAGAUAAUCGAUAGUGAUAGAGUAUUAGAAGAAGAAAUAGAAGAAAUAAAAAACAAAGUUGAAGAUAUUUUCAAUCGCCAGUUCUUAUUGGAUUUACGUAAUGAUCGAGCAAAUGAUGUUGAACAAAAUAAAUUGAUAACUUAAGUUUUUAAACAGAACAUACAAACAGAGAAAUAUCUAUUAACUGUUAAAAAUCAGAAAAUACGGAAAAACAUCUGUCGAUUCAGAAUAAGUUCCCAUAAUUUACCCAUUGAAACUGGAAGACAUAGACGUCCAGAUUAAAUACCCUCACAUUUAAGAACGUGCAAUAAUUGUAAUUCAGGAAGGGUUGGGGAUGAGUAUCACACGAUAAUAGAAUGUUAUGUACACACAACUGAAAGGGUGGUGUUUUUUGACAAAAUAGCUGAAAUGUAUAUACAGUUUAAGAAACUUAGCGAUGAAGACAAAUUUAUAUUCAUAAUGAAACUUGAUAAUGAAAACAUAAUUGAUAAUUCUUGUAAGUUCUUCAAUGCGAUUAUAAAUAAGAGGGGUGAGUUUUAACAUCAAGUACAUUUUAUUUUCUUUUUAAAUUUCAUUCAAAAUAUCUAAAAUCCACCAAAGCCACCAUUACCAAAGAUAUAUCUCUAACGUUAUACAUUUAUUUACUUCCUGAUUUGUAUUCGAUAAUAACUUAUGUAUAUUGCAUUAUGCUACACCUUCUUUAUGUUAAAUUUCAAUUCGUCAUUUCUCUUUGUAUAUAUAUAGAUAUAUCUUUAUAAUAAUUGGAAAUCUAUGUAUUGAUGUAUUGCUGAUUUAUACGACAUACAUGUACAGUUAUGAAUGUUUUUGUUUAUGUUAUCAUUGUAGGCCUAUAUAUUUUAAAACAAAAUAUUCAUGCCAUAUGAAUGAAGUUUGUUAAUAAAUUCAAAUUCAAAAUUCAUGUACGGAACCGUACAUCAUGUAUAUAGGUCCAUGAUCAUGAUAGGUCCAUGAUCAUACCAUGGAGGUAGACCAGUAACAUACAAAGAAAAAAAUACGAGACACAAUACAAACGCACCCUCACACACACCAUGGACCUAUAUGUUCAGCACACACACACACUGGACGACGGCGCCCCUGUCCACCCUAUAGAUACCCUAUGCCCACGGCCACACGAUAGUACGCGUGCAAGAAGCUUGAUUUCGCAAUCAAUCGCACGUGUGUUUUGUUUGUACACAAAGCUGACGUUGGGCAUCACAACACUGCACUGCUUAAUAAUUGCAUCUCGAAAUCUAAACUGUUCACUCGUAAAUCUAAGUACUUUUCAUUCAGCACACAUUUGCAAUGUGGACUAAAUUUAAACGAAGAAGAAUAUACGAUGGCGACGAAGCGCGACAUCUUUUCGAAGCUCUCUAUUUUACAGAAGAGGAAAAUGCUGCAACAAGUGAAGAGGCCGCGCCACCAGUUUACGGGCCGGAGUACGGCUUAGCCUUAGGCGGGGACGACUCCCAGGCCAGGAGUCGAGUUUUUGCGAUUUGACAUCAGCUACGGGUUUGAAGAUUGCAACAAGCAACGACGUUGUUCGAGCAGAUCCCGUUGGCGAAGAGAGAGAUCAACCCUCCCGAGGAAGAAAACGUCUGAUGGUUUAUUUUGUUGACAGAGAGACAGAGUCUGACUCCUCUCAUUGCUCUGAAGCUGUAUCACGUACCUGUAGAAGGAACUUCAGCAAAAAGCGAAAUGCAGCCGGUCUGGAAUUAGCGGCAAUACUGAGGAUGAAAUGCUGCAGAAGUUAUUGUCUUCAUAAGAUAUCAAGAAUAGAUGCAAGCAAGGCCCGCAGAAGAUUUCAGAACAAUACUCUAGCAGAUCAGAGGCUAUGGAUUUUGCAGUACCUUAUUGAACAUCACAACUUUGUAAACAUGGAUGGAGACUCAUCCUUGGGAUUACUAGGACCCGCUUAUGGAAGAUGGAGUCAGGAUUAGCAGAAGGAUUGGUGACAUCUCGUCCAUCAAAUCACCAUCAUAAAGGACUUUUUUGUCUGUGAUGACGUCAAUGGUGUGGCUUAGUGAAUUUGUCGAUAAGUUUGGAGAGAAACUGCCAACCAACAACAAAAUCCAUCUUCCAUCAUGCCUUACACGUGGAAAUGUGUAUUGGAUUAUGAAGGAGGAAGUAGAAGAGCAAGGAGGUUCUGUUUGUAGUCAGCAAUACUUCUUCCGCAAAUGGAGACAGGAAAUGUCUCAUGUUACCAUUCCAAAGGUGAACCUUUUUUACGAAAUGCAACAUAUGCACCAAACUGAAAUCUUGCCUAGAGAAGACAACUGGCAGAGAAGAGAGACAAACUUUACUGCAAGAAAGAGAGUCACACCUUUUCCAGCAAAAGUAAAGGUAGGAUUUUUGUCUCACCUGCAUAGCAGAGUGAGACUAUAGGCGCCGCUUUUCCGACGGCGACGGCGGCGGCGACGGCGGCGGCGACGGCGGCGGCGGCGGCGACGGCGGCGUCAACACCAAAUCUUAACCUGAGGUUAAGUUUUUGAAAUGACAGCAUAACUUAGAAAGUAUAUGGACCUAGUUCAUGAAACUUGGCCAUAAGGUUAAUCAAGUAUUACUGAACAUCCUGCCUGAGUUUCAUGUCACAUGACCAAGGUCAAAGGUCAUUUAGGGUCAAUGAACUUAGACCAUGUUGGGGGAAUCAACAUCAAAAUCUUAACCUAAGGUUAAGUUUUUGAAAUGUCAUCAUAACUUAGAAAAUAUAUGGACCUAGUUCAUGAAACUUAUACAUAAGGUUAAUCAAGUAUCACUGAACAUCCUGCAUGAGUUUCACAUCACAUGACCAAGGUCAAAGGUCAUUUAGGGUCAAUGAACUUUGGCCGAAUUGGGGGUAUCUGUUGAAUUACCAUCAUAACUUUGAAAGUUUAUGGAUCUGAUUCAUGAAACUUGGACAUAAUAAUAAUCAAGUAUUACUGAACAUCCUGUGCAAGUUUCAGGUCACAUGAUCAAGGUCAAAGGUCAUUUAGGGUCAAUGAACUUUGGCCAAAUUGGGGUAUUUGUUGAAUUACAGCCAUAAAUUUGAAAGUGUGUUGGUCUAGUUCAUAAAACUUGGACAUAAUAGUAAUCAAGUAUCACUGAACAUCCUGUGCGAGUUUCAGGUCACAUGAUCAAGGUCAAAGGUCAUGUAAGGUCAAAGAACUUUGGCCACGUUGGGGGUAUUUGUUGAAUUGCCAUCAUAUCUCUAUAAGUGUAUUGGUCUACUUCAUAAAACGUGGAAAUAAGAGUAACCAAGUAUCACUGAACAUCUUGUGCGAGUUAUAGUAGUUUUCAAAAUUAGCACUGCUGCUAUAUUGAAUCGCGUGAUGCAGGUGAGACGGCCAGAGGCAUUCCACUUGUUAAUGAAGGGCCACGCACACGAGGACAUUGACCAGCUAUUCACCCGGGUUUCAACAUGCAUAACACGGCAAAACAUACCAACACUUUCAUCUCUGCUUCAUCAUAUCCCACUCUCUUAUCGAAAACCAAAUACCACAUCGGAAAGACUCAACGCAGUCUACAAUGUGAGAGACUGGCUCAAACCUUGCCUGAACAAGAUGUCACUGCACAGCUUUCCACAUCAAUUUAGAAUCACAAAACACAAUGGAAAAGCUGUGAACAUUACACACCAAGAAGUGGAGCAACAGCAGUGAAUGGCAGGCUACAACUGGAUGGGAUAACAUCAUCACACAUCACCCUCCAGGCCAACCAUCCAUUGUCCAUAAAGUACAUGAUGCUAUUACACUUACCAACCUCCAACGGGAUAUGCCAAAGUAUGCCCCCUACUUUAGUAUUGAAGAAAGACAGGAAUGGGAGAAUCUGCUAGCUAGCAUGGAGGAAGGUGGAAUAGAAAACUCUGGUAAAUGGCCACUGGUGGAUAUAUUGAUGGAUAAAGAGUCUCAGAAUACACCACAAAGACAUCUUGAUCCAACUUCGGAAUUCUCAAAUGAUGAACAGCAACCUAUUCAAGCGGUCCAUCUAGGUACUAAGCAGAAAAGGCCUCAACAGCCAGUAUUAAAACUGGGAGAUAUGGUUGCAGUCUACUUAGAAGAGUUCAGUAAUGAGUGGCCGCGAGUGAGCAAAGUGUUGGAAAUGACUUGAGACAGUGUGAAGCUGCAUUGGUACUCAGGAUCAGAAACGUCCACGUGGAUAUCACCUACCACAUCAGUUCAAGGACAGAAGGGUCAGCCGUACACAGGAGAAGUCUCUCUUCAAGAAGUCAUUUCUUUCCCCUACAGUCUCACUAAAACAAACAAAUUACCAUAGGAUAUCCAGUGUCACUUGAAGGAAAAACGUGAAGAAUACUUUGCAUAUUAGGUCUGUAUGAACAUACACUGUAUUCAUACCAAUUUGGAAUGAGUUUGUUUGUCCAGGACUCAAAAGCUGUAUGUCUAUAUGGAAGCCACUUGAAUUAUGUAUUUUUGUGAUAUUACAAUGUACCUAUAUGUUUCCACAUUGGACAUGGUGCCCGGGGGGGCCACUUACAUUGACGAGUGGAUACCAUGCGCGACCAAAAAAACAUGUAAACAGGAUGUCUUAUUCAAGAUUGGGCACGUUACGUACGUAACAAGGGUGUCAAAAACACAAAAAUAAUGGAAAAAGGGUAUCUAUUUCGCUAGGAAAGUUACGUGUUUAGGGUCAAAUUUGCGGGAAUGAUGAAACAAAAUUAAAAUGUUUUAUAAAGGAUGUCCUCUUUGCCCCAACACUACGUGUUUAGAGUCCGAUUUGCGCGAGGUGUGGAAGGUGGGGCCGUGCACCAAAUGGUGUGUAAAGGUAAAACCGACGACCGACGGACCCGUGACAUAACAUAUCGCUGUACUUGUUUAGGGGUUCAUUUCAGGGAAUACUUGCCAAGAGUGUUGAUUUGUUACCAAUACUUGUUAAGGGUAGGGUUUCAGACGCCAAUACUUGUUAAGGGGUGCAUUUUCAGAAUAUGGAAAAUACUUGUUUAGGGUGCUUUUCGAGACCCCAUGGUCGCGCAUGGUAUCCACUCGUCAAUGGAAGUGGCCCCCCUGGGAUAUGGUGAUAAUUUCCAGGGUUUAUCUUCACAUAAUUUUGAUCACCUACAUGUAUCUACAUUUAGAAGAGAUAAAUGCACAAUGGUUGAUAGAGAGUUGGUACCUGAAGUAGGUAAUGAAUUAAGUUCCACUGCCAAUGGAAAGUUUACCCUCUCAGUGCUCAAGAGGUAAGCUCCUUACCAUGGAACUCAAUAUGCAACAUUUGCGUAUACUGAACAGGCACAAAUAACGAUUUUCUGUAAUGGCACAUGUCGGUUAUCUCUCAAACAAAAAUUUUAAGUCAGACUAUGUGAGAAAGAAAUUAUACAUCAACUGGAACCAUCUGAAAACCUUUCAUUGAUUGCAUAGUGCAAUAUAGUUGAAUGAGUUUUAUUGUCUUGCCUGCCUAGCUGAGUGAGACAAUAGGGGUCACUUUUCCGACAGCGGCAGUGUCGUCAACAUUGAAAUCUUAACCAAGUGGUAAUUCCAUAAAAUAUGUACGUCCGACCCCCUAUAUGUGGGACUUUCAUGAAAUUUUCUGUCUCUGAUUUCUGGUUCUCUUGACAGUCUGUAAUGUUCUAUAACGUCCAUGAUUCCGUCAGUUUAUGAAGUGAAGUAAGACUUGAGAAAAAUGGGGGUCGGAUGUACAAAAAGGCUUAUCAUUUUAUGGAAUUUCCCCAAGGUUAAGUUUUUGUCUCGCCUGCAUAGCAGAGUGAGACUAUAGGCGCCGCUUUUUCGACGGCGGCGGCGUCGUCAACAUUGAAAUCUUAACCAAGGUUAAGUUUUUGAAAUGUCAUCAUAACUUAGAAAGUAUAUGGGCCUAGUUCAUGAAACUUGAACAAGGGUAAUCAAGUAUGACUAAACAUCCUGCUUGAGUUUCAGGUCACAUGACCAAGGUCAAAGGUCAUUUAGGGUCAAUGAACUUAUACCAUGUUGGGGGAAUCAAUAUCAAAAUUUUAACCAAGGUCCACUUUUUGAAAUGUUGUCAUAACUUUGAAAGUAUAUGGACCUAGUUCAUAAAACUUAGACAUAAGGGUAAUAGUGUAUCACUAAAGAUCCUGCUUGAGUUUCAGGUCACAUGAUUAAGGUCAAAGGUCACUUAGGGUCAAACUAUGGCCAUGUAGGGGUUAUUUGAGGAAUUAUCAUCAUAACUUUUAAACUUUAUGGAUCUAGUUCAUGAAACUUGGACAUAAGAGCAACCAUGUAUCCCUGAAUAUCAUGUGUGAGUUUCAGGUCACAUGACUAAGGUCAAAGGUCACUUAGGGUCAACGAACUUUGGCCAUAUUGGGGGUAUAGGAGGAAUUGUCAUCAUCCUAAGAAUACUGGGGGGGGGGGCUGAAUUGAUUCAGCCCCCCCUCGACAUUUUUCGCGAUAAAUCCGCCGCUCGAUAUUUUUUGACCGCGUCGUUCACUGACUUUUUACUUUCAAGUCUCGCGCAACUUUUAAGACCAAAAUUGUGACCCCCGGGUACGCGGUUCCGAAAUUACGCAACAUUUCGUAAGUGCAUGCAGACCCAAAAUUACUCAAAAACGUGAAUUUGUGUGCAAAUCCAAUGCAAAUAAUGUUUUUAGCCAAAAUUCAUAAAAUGUAUCAUUAUUUUUCCUUUUACUGCUUAAAAUCAAUUAAUUUUAUCUUGCUUACGGUCAAAAUAAAGUCCCCGACAAUUUCCAUUGAAAAAACAAUAAAAAACAAAAAGUCAAAAAACAGAGAAAUACAUAAGAAAUUUAGAAAACAAUAGAAUACAUAAGAAAAUAAAUGUGAUGUUAAAAUUUUUGAAAAAUAAAUUUGAUCAGAUGCCUAUCUUGAGUCUGUGAAACAAAAAUUAGAAUUUUAGGGGCAUUAUUUUAUUAAUUAGAGCAUGCAAACUUAUGAUUUUACGCAUAAAUUAGCAUAAUUAAUGAGCAAUGAGAUUUUUCGCAAAAUUUGAUAUUAUAGUUUUGUAGAUAAUGCCAUGGGUAAGGGGCGUGCCAAUUUUCGUCGUGAUCGCGCGAUCGACGGCCGAGAUCAUAAGGAGGGGCUGAAUCAGCCCCCCCCCCCCCCCCCGAGUCUUCUUAGGCGUCGAAAUAGCCCAGUCUAUUUAGGGUUAAAGUCUAUGGAUCUAGUUCAUGAAACUUUGACAUAAGAGCAGCAAUGUAUCCCUGAAUACCCUGUGUGCGUUUUAGGAACAUAGCCAAGAUCAAAGGUCAUUUAAAGGUCAAUGAACUCUGGCUAUGUUGGGAGUAUGUGUUGAAUUGGCAUCAUAACUUAGGAAGUUUAUGGAUCUAGCUCAUGAAACAUCGACAGAAGGGUAAUCAAGUAUGAAUGAUUGUUUUGCACAUGUCUUAGGUCACAUGAUCAUGGUCAAAUGUCAUUUUGGGUCAAUGGACAUAGUAUUUUAUUUUCGUAUAUACGUAUUAGUGUUUUCUUCUGUGAAUAAUUAUUCAUUAGCUGUUUUCAAAGGAAGCACUGCUGCUAUAUCGAAUUGCGUAAUGCAGGCGAGACUGCCAGAGGCGUUCCACUUGUUGAAAUGUCAUCAUAACUUACAAAGUGUAUAGACCCAGUUCAUGAAACUUAUGAGUGAAAUCAAGUAUUACUGAGCAUCCUGCCUGAGUUUCAGGUCACAUGACCAGGGUCAAAAGUCAUUUAGGGUCAAUGAACUUAGACCAUGUUAGGGGAAAGAAUAUCGAAAUCUUAACCUCGAGUAUAUAUAUUUAUUUAUUUCUUCUGUUUUUCAUUGUUGUUGAUGUAGUUGAUGUAAUGGUGUAGCUUUGAAAUAAAGAUAAAUUUAUCCUCGUGUAGCCUUGAAAUUAAGAUAAAUUUAUCCUCGUGUAGCUUUGAAAUUAGGAUAAAUUUAUCCUCAUGUAGCCUUGAAAUUAGGAUAAAUUUAUCCUCGUGUUGCCUUGAAAUUAGGAUAAAUUUAUCCUCGUGUAGCUUUGAAAUUAAGAUAAAUUUAUCCUCAUGUAGCUUUGAAAUUAAGACAAAUUUAUCCUCAUGUAGCCUUGAAAUUAGGAUAAAUUUAUCCUCAUGUAGCCUUGAAGUUAGGAUAAAUUUAUCCUCAUGUAGUCUUGAAAUUAAGAUAAAUUUAUCCUCGUGUAGCCUUGAAAUUAGGAUAAAUUUAUCCUCGUGUAGCUUUGAAAUUAAGAUAAAUUUAUCCUCAUGUAGCCUUGGAAUUAAGAUAAAUUUAUCCUCGUGUAGCUUUGAAAUUAGGAUAAAUUUAUCCUCGUGUAGCCUUGAAAUAAGGAUAAAUUUAUCCUCGUGUAGCUUUGAAAUUAAGAUAAAUUUAUCCUCAUGUAGCUUUGAAAUUAAGAUAAAUUUAUUGUCAUGUAGCCUUGAAAUUAAGAUAAAUUUAUCCUCAUGUAGCCUUGAAAUUAAGAUAAAUUUAUCCUAGUGUAGCCUUGAAAUUAGGAUAAAUAUAUCCUCGUGUAGCCUUGAAAUUAGGAUAAAUUUAUCCUCGUGUAGCUUUGAAAUUAAGAUAAAUUUAUCGUCAUGUAGCCUUGAAAUUAAGAUAAAUUUAUCCUUGUGUAGCUUUGAAAUUAAGAUAAAUUUAUCCUCCUGAAGCUUUGAAAUUAAGAUAAUUUUAUCCUCAUGUAGCCUUGAAAUUAAGAUUAAUUUAUCCUCGUGUAGCUUUGAAAUUAAGAUAAAUUUAUCCUCGUGUAGCCUUGAAAUUAAGAUAAAUUUAUCUUCGUGUAGCCUUGAAAUUAGGAUAAAUUUAUCCUCAUGUAGCCUUGAAAUUAAGAUGAAUUUAUCCUCGUGUAGCUUUAAAAUUAGGAUAAAUUUAUCCUCGUGUAGCUUUGAAAUUAAGAUAAAUUUAUCCUCAUGUAGCUUUGAAAUUAAGAUAAAUUUAUCCUUGCGUAGCCUUUAAAUUAGGAUAAAUUUAUCCUCAUGUAGCCUUGAAAUUAGGAUAAAUUUAUCCUCAUGAAGCCUUGAAAUUAAGAUAAAUUUAUCCUCUUGUAGCCAUGAAAUUAAGAUAAAUGUAUCCUCGUGUAGCUUUGAAAUUAGGAUAAAUUUAUCCUCGUGUAGCUUUGAAAUUAAGAUAAAUUUAUCCUUGUGUAGCUUUGAAAUUAAGAUAAAUUUAUCCUCAUGUAGCUUUCAAAUUAAGAUAAAUUUAUCCUCAUGUAGCCUUGAAAUUAAGAUAAAUUUAUCCUCAUGUUGCCUUGAAGUUAGGAUAAAUUUAUCCUCAUGUAGACUGAAAUUAAGAUAAAUUUAUCCUCGUGUAGCCUUGAAAUUAGGAUAAAUUUAUCCUCGUGUAGCCUUGAAAUUAAGAUGAAUUUAUCCUCGUGUAGCCUUGAAAUUAAGAUGAAUUUAGCCUCAUGUAGCCUUGAAAUUAAGAUAAAUUCAUCCUCAUGUUGACUUGAAGUUAGGAUAAAUUUAUCCUCAUGUAGACUGAAAUUAAGAUAAAUUUAUCCUCGUGUAGCCUUGAAAUUAGGAUAAAUUUAUCCUCGUGUAGCCUUGAAAUUAAGAUAAAUUUAUCCUUGUGUAGCUUUGAAAUUAAGAUGAAUUUAUCCUUGCGUAGUCUUGAAAUUAGGAUAAAUUUAUCCUCGUGAAGCUUUGAAAUUAAGAUAAAUUUAUCCUCAUGUAGCUUUGAAACGAAGAUAAAUUUAUCCUCAUGUAGCUUUGAAAUUAGGAUAAAUUUAUCCUCGUGUAUUCUUGAAAUUAGGAUGAAUUCAUCCUCAUGAAGCCUUGAAAUUAAGAUAAAUUUAUCCUCGUGUAUCCUUGAAAUUAAGAUAAAUUUAUCCUCGUGUAGCCUUGAAAUUAGGAUAAAUUUAUCCUCGUGAAGCUUUGAAAUUAAGAUUAAUUUAUCCUCAUGUAGCUUUGAAAUUAAGAUAAAUUUAUCCUCAUGUAGCCUUGAAAUUAAGAUAAAUUUAUCCUCGUGUAGCUUUGAAAUUAAGAUAAAUUUAUCCUCGCGUAGCCUUGAAAUUAGGAUUAAUUUAUCCUCGUGAAGAUUGAAAUUAAGAUAAAUUUAUCCUCAUGUAGCUUUGAAACGAAGAUAAAUUUAUCCUCAUGUAGCUUUGAAAUUAGGAUAAAUUUAUCCUCAUGAAGCCUUGAAAUUAAGAUAAAUUUAUCCUCGUGUAUCCUUGAAAUUAAGAUAAAUUUAUCCUCGUGUAGCCUUGAAAUUAGGAUAAAUUUAUCCUCGUGAAGCUUUGAAAUUAGGAUAAAUUUAUCCUCGUGUAGCCUUGAAAUUAGGAUAAAUUUAUCCUCAUGUAGCUUUGAAAUUAAGAUAAAUUUAUCCUUGCGUAGCCUUGAAAUUAGGAUAAAUUUAUCCUCGUGAAGCUUUGAAAUUAAGAUAAAUUUAUCCUCAUGUAGCUUUGAAAUUAAGAUAAAUUUAUCCUCAUGUAGCCUUGAAAUUAAGAUAAAUUUAUCCUCGUGUAGCUUUGAAAUUAAGAUAAAUUUAUCCUCGCGUAGCCUUGAAAUUAGGAUAAAUUUAUCCUCGUGAAGAUUGAAAUUAAGAUAAAUUUAUCCUCAUGUAGCUUUGAAACGAAGAUAAAUUUACCCUCAUGUAGCUUUGAAAUUAGGAUAAAUUUAUCCUCAUGAAGCCUUGAAAUUAAGAUAAAUUUAUCCUCGUGUAUCCUUGAAAUUAAGAUAAAUUUAUCCUCGUGUAGCCUUGAAAUUAGGAUAAAUUUAUCCUCGUGAAGCUUUGAAAUUAGGAUAAAUUUAUCCUCGUGUAGCCUUGAAAUUAGGAUAAUUUUAUCCUCAUGUAGCUUUGAAAUUAAGAUAAAUUUAUCCUUGCGUAGCCUUGAAAUUAGGAUAAAUUUAUCCUCGUGAAGCUUUGAAAUUAAGAUAAAUUUAUCCUCAUGUAGCUUUGAAAUUAAGAUAAAUUUAUCCUCAUGUAGCCUUGAAAUUAAGAUAAAUUUAUCCUCGUGUAGCUUUGAAAUUAAGAUAAAUUUAUCCUCGCGUAGCCUUGAAAUUAGGAUAAAUUUAUCCUCGUGAAGCUUUGAAAUUAAGAUAAAUUUAUCCUCAUGUAGCUUUGAAAUUAAGAUAAAUUUAUCCUCAUGUAGCCUUGAAAUUAAGAUAAAUUUAUCCUCGUGUAGCUUUGAAAUUAAGAUAAAUUUAUCCUCGCGUAGCCUUGAAAUUAGGAUAAAUUUAUCCUCGUGAAGAUUGAAAUUAAGAUAAAUUUAUCCUCAUGUAGCUUUGAAACGAAGAUAAAUUUACCCUCAUGUAGCUUUGAAAUUAGGAUAAAUUUAUCCUCAUGAAGCCUUGAAAUUAAGAUAAAUUUAUCCUCGUGUAUCCUUGAAAUUAAGAUAAAUUUAUCCUCGUGUAGCCUUGAAAUUAGGAUAAAUUUAUCCUCGUGAAGCUUUGAAAUUAGGAUAAAUUUAUCCUCGUGUAGCCUUGAAAUUAGGAUAAAUUUAUCCUCAUGUAGCUUUGAAAUUAAGAUAAAUUUAUCCUUGCGUAGCCUUGAAAUUAGGAUAAAUUUAUCCUCGUGAAGCUUUGAAAUUAAGAUAAAUUUAUCCUCAUGUAGCUUUGAAAUUAAGAUAAAUUUAUCCUCAUGUAGCCUUGAAAUUAAGAUAAAUUUAUCCUCGUGUAGCUUUGAAAUUAAGAUAAAUUUAUCCUCGCGUAGCCUUGAAAUUAGGAUAAAUUUAUCCUCGUGAAGCUUUGAAAUUAAGAUAAAUUUAUCCUCGUGUAGCUUUGAAACGAAGAUAAAUUUAUCCUCAUGUAGCUUUGAAAUUAGGAUAAAUUUAUCCUCAUGAAGCCUUGAAAUUAAGAUAAAUUUAUCCUUGUGUAUCCUUGAAAUUAAGAUAAAUUUAUCCUCGUGCAGCCUUGAAAUUAGGAUAAAUUUAUCCUCGUUUAGCCUUGAAAUUAGGAUAAACUUAUCCUCGUGUAGCCUUGAAAUUAGGAUAAAUUUAUCCUCCUGUAGUAUUAGCAGGAUGAACUAAUCCUUAUAAUUGUAAUAUAUUUGUAUGAUAUAUUUAUUUGAUCUGUUAUUCCUAUUAAAUGGUUGUAUUAAUUGAAA